rnacentral:sRNA from 1 species
GGUAUAAUAAGUGUGCAUUGUAUCUCUGUUGGAUGCCAAGAAAGUAACUAUUUACAAUACUAGCGUUUGUUAUAGAGCACCUCUUAAGAUUGAUAAAUGAACUUUUCCUUAAAAAAUCUAACAAGUAAUUUGUUUUUGCUGUCCAAUUCUAGUCGAAAUGAAAGUAUCUUGAUGUGAUAGAAAUGACAAUAUUUUUGGUUCUUCAACGUACUACAAUUAUCAUAACUUCUGUGUCUAUUGUAAAUCAAUCCCAGAAAAUCAAUUUUUUGAUUGCAAAUAAUCACUGAAGAUUCAUGUCAUAAGAAUUCAUUAUUGCAGGAUAGGGAGGUCAUUUAUAUGAUUUACAUACACACUGUAUAUUCCUUACAAGGCAAGAAAAUUGACCGUAAUUAAUAAAUAUAUUGUUGAGGUCAUCUUUAUGGUGAUUUAUAUAAAAAAAAAAAUUGAGUAACAUUUUGUGUCUGCUUUGCCCGAUUCUCCUUAUAUUCCAGACUGUGGUACUUAUUUAGUUUGCUGUGUGUUAAAAUUAGCUAUGAUAUGAUGCCAAAUGCUAAAUUAGUAUAUUAUAUUUUUUCAUGUGAUUAAGAUAAAGAUUAUUACUCCUAAAAAGCAAUUGUGUUGAGUUAAUGGACAUAUUACUGUAUAUUUGGAAAACAUUUUGUUGCUUUCAAUUUCUCUCUUUUUCAUAAUAGUUACUUUUCAUGAUUAAUUUUGGGAUUAAUUAAACUUUCCAGAUAAUACCUGUACAUCUGUGUGAACGUUUGUUACUUUGUCAGUUUUACUUUAUGAAAUUAAAGUAGUUUCCAUGUAUUAGGGGCAUUUGUUAAUUGUAUGUUGUUUUUAUAAAUUGGUUGUAAAGUAUUAUACACAUGUAAUGAUUUAAUAUGUAUUCAGCUGUGAUAAAAAGGAAUAUUUUGUGAGCGAUUUUGACCAAUAAUUUAGUGUUUCAUAGAAUGUGAAUUAAAUUUCUCCUUAAU